CCCAGUCCUGGAACGACGAGGCUUCCUUAUUUACCAUCAUGAAGCAGCUCCUCUCUACCAAAUAACUUAUAUUCUUCUAUACUGUUUGUCUCUACCAACAAUUGAACGCAUCACCUCUCUGAUAACCACCCACUCUUUCCUUUGCCACCUCUGUCUGAUCUCGCCGCUCGCUCUUUUCUCCCAACGGCCGUUUUGAAAGCAUUUCAUAACAUUCGAUAAUUGCUGUGCGCAAAUUAAAUUGGAAUUCACCAGGCGCCAGGCUUUCUUUUCUGUUGCCGUUUAGUUGCUGACGAGCACCCGAAGGUCCUGCUCCCGGACCGGGUCGAUCGUUGCUCACGAGUCCGGGCCUUUUCCGUCGCUCCCAGGCAGCUGAAGGCAUGGCGUACAGGAAGGUGCGAGGGGCCCAGCGGGCGGGGCCUCUGGUGGGGGAGGAGCUCCAGACCGCAGCCCUGGACCUGGACUGGGACCUGGAGAAGGAGCUGCAGGAGGGCCGGGCCGGGCCUGGAGCGGGGCGCCGACGGGGGGACUCCCUCCAGGGCGGAGGCCGACCCAGACCUGAUGGAAGCCUCCGUCUCUCCACACGGGCGCUUCGAGCGCCUGCAGGAAGACCCCAACUACAUCUCUCACUUCACCAGGACUCCGGGCAAGGGCCAGCGCAGAGCCAGCUGCCAUCUGGUCAGGUACUUCCUGGGAGCCGCGGGAAUCUUCCUUCUGGGGAUUCUGAUUGGCCACUAUGCUAAAACGCCCGAUGCUCAGGCGCCGACCCCGCCCACCGACACCACUGACCUAUUGGAGGAGGUGCUGCGUGACAUCACGGCUGAUAAGAUACAGGCCUUGC